rnacentral:tRNA from 1 species
AACCCAAUAGUCAAGUAUGAUUUUAAGUUGCAAGCUUAAAGGUAAAGAUAAUUUUUGGGUUU